UACGGAGGGUGCGAGCGUUGUCCGGAAUCACUGGGCGUAAAGGGCGCGUAGGCGGUGGGGGUAGUCCGUGGUGAAAGCUCGUGGCUCAACUGCGAGUCGGCCAUGGAUACUCCUUCACUCGAGCACUGUAGAGGCAGGUGGAAUUCCGGGAGUAGCGGUGGAAUGCGUAGAGAUCCGGAAGAACACCGGUGGCGAAGGCGGCCUGCUGGGCAGUAGCUGACGCUGAGGCGCGACAGCGUGGGGAGCAAACAGG
rnacentral:rRNA from 1 species